GUGUUGUAUGAAAAGGAGAGAGGUCAAUACUAGCCUUGAUAAAGAUAAAAGGAUCUUCAGCCCACAGGAAACACAUGUGAAUAACGUGUUGUGAUCUUCUUUGCAUCAUUUAAUCAUACCUUUUC